rnacentral:rRNA from 1 species
GAUGAACGCUAGCGGCGUGCCUAAUACAUGCAAGUCGAGCGAACAGACGAGGAGCUUGCUCCUCUGACGUUAGCGGCGGACGGGUGAGUAACACGUGGAUAACCUACCUAUAAGACUGGGAUAACUUCGGGAAACCGGAGCUAAUACCGGAUAAUAUAUUGAACCGCAUGGUUCAAUAGUGAAAGACGGUUUUGCUGUCACUUAUAGAUGGAUCCGCGCCGCAUUAGCUAGUUGGUAAGGUAACGGCUUACCAAGGCGACGAUGCGUAGCCGACCUGAGAGGGUGAUCGGCCACACUGGAACUGAGACACGGUCCAGACUCCUACGGGAGGCAGCAGUAGGGAAUCUUCCGCAAAGGGCGAAAGCCUGACGGAGCAACGCCGCGUGAGUGAUGAAGGUCUUCGGAUCGUAAAACUCUGUUAUUAGGGAAGAACAAAUGUGUAAGUAACUAUGCACGUCUUGACGGUACCUAAUCAGAAAGCCACGGCUAACUACGUG